AUAUCUUCUAACCACUCGGACGAAGUCGCGGGCAACAGCUAGUAAUAUAAUAUUUCGGUAGUGCUAAACUAUCUACUCAGGUAAAGUCGCAGGCUGAAGCUUGUCUUAUGUUUCUGUACUAUUUUAUGAUAAUAGUCCAAGUUAUGUAAAAUAAUUAGAAUUUCAAAAAACUUGAGAUAUAUUUACUUUUCUAUGUAUAUUCAUUAUCCUAGUUUUAUUCAUCCUAAUCUAGCCAUGUUACAUAAUAAUGAAGUUUUUCUACAUUUUUGUGAGUUUAGUUGGAAUUCGGAGGUCAGGUGUAAAUAUAGAACAAUAUGUAACAGGUGUUUUUGUCUUGUAUUUUUAUGGCACGUCACAUGUGUAAUUAGUAAUUAGGAGAGUUAUAAUUGAGUAUCCACAGGCUCUUUAUUCGUUGACAGAGUAAUGUAAUGUUGGUAAAGUAAGAAUGACUUGCAAGAUAUGAGCAUUUUAAUGUCCACUAAAGAUUUUGAAGUUUGAAUAUUUCCUCAGUGGAGAAUCCUUUUAAAUAAGUACUCACCAGUUGCCUACAUUAAUUUUAUUUCAUUUACCUGCGAAUAAUUUAAUGAAUGAAUAAAUAGCUGAAACGAUUUUCAAAAUAACUUUAAUACCAUUACUACAUAAAAAGUCUCAUUAAUUACCUACUAGAGUUUUAUUUCCAAAAUUCUAUACUAUUGGGUUACAAAAUAUAAUACUAUGUAUACGGUUUGUAAGUUUAUAUUUAUUUGUUUACUAUUAGACAAUUAUUUCGUAACCUCGUACUGUGACUGUCUUCAUUCGUUACAGAAUAUUUCGUCUAUUGAACUAACCUCAAAUGAACCUUGAAGACACUGUAAACAUAUAUAUUAUGUUUUUUUGUGUGGAUACUUUUAGAAGAAUUACUGAAUCCUUAUUUUAACAGAUACAUACUAAGAAGAAAUCAUUCUUGAAAUAUCUAGAAAAAGAAGUCCUAGCAUUAAAGUCAAGGCAUAAAAAAACUUCAAUAAAAUAUGCCAAGAAAAAAAAUCGAAAUAAAUUAAUGAUGUCUGAUACUAAAAAUAAACGAAACUCAUCAGCGCCUCAAACAAUUCAUUCAUCGCCUCUGACGUCAAAGUUAUACAACAAAAGUUGGAGAAUCUGUUUAAAACAAAAACGCAAAUGACGUUCUCAAUGAUGACACGACUUUCAAUGAGUUGUUCAAAUUGAAGAAGAAAAGCGGGACUAAUGUAGACACUAGACGAGUUAACAUAAAUCUGGAGCUUGACCAUUUCCUAAUAAUAUUUUCUACAAAUAAAAACUACACAGCCACACUAGGAGACUUUUUUAUGGGACCAAUCAAUGAAGUCUCGUUGGAUGGAGAACAUAUGGAGAGGUCUAUGUCCAGCAGUGGACAGCUAUGGGCUGAGAUGAUGAUGAUGAUGAAUCAAUGGAGUCAAUAAAAUAGGUUCAUACAGUAUAAGUUUUGUCGUUAUAUAAAAUUAUUAACAAUAUUAAUUUAUUUUUAAGUAGUAAGCGAGCAGCCGAAGAUGAUGAUGCUAAAGGCAUCAUCACCACCUUCCUUUAAAAAUGCCUGUGCCUAAGCUUGAACUAUUUAGAAAAAGCUGUGCUUAUAUGGCACCUUUAAUAUAUAAUUCUCUUCCAAAAGGAAUGACUGAUCUGCCAUAUAAAAAGUUUUGUUUUACCUUGAAAAAAUGGUUAAUUGAGGAGAGCUUCUAUAGUCUCAAAGAGUUCUUAAAUAAGAGCACAUGUCGAUUUGGUGCUAAAUCUGUACUAAAUUUCUAACUCGUCAA